GACAGAGGUGCCGAGCGUUAGGCGGAAUCACUGGGCUUAAAGCGGGUGUAGGCGGCGGCGUAAGUACCUUGUGAAAUCCCACGGCUCAACCGUGGAACUGCUGGGUAUACUGGUUGUCUUGAGCCAGCUAGGGGCGAGCGGAACAGACGGUGGAGCGGUGAAAUGCGUAGAUAUCGUCUGGAACGCCGAAGGUGAAAACAGCUCGCUGGGGCUGCGCUGACGCUGAGACACGAAAGCCAGGGGAGCGAACGGG
rnacentral:rRNA from 1 species